rnacentral:rRNA from 1 species
UACAGAGGUCUCGAGCGUUAUGCGGAAUCACUGGGCGUAAAGCGCGCGUAGGCGGCUGUCUAAGUCCCAUGUGAAAUCCCACAGCUUAACUGUGGAACUGCUUGGUAUACUGGGUGUCUUGAGUCACUCAGGGGCGAGCGGAACAAAUGGUGGAGCGGUGAAAUGCGUAGAUAUCAUUUGGAACGCCAAUGGUGAAAACAGCUCGCUGGGGGUGCACUGACACUGAGACACGAAAGCCAGGGGAGCGAACGGG